GAUGAACGCUAGCGAUAGGCUUAACACAUGCAAGUCGAGGGGCAGCAUUAUUUUAGCUUGCUAAGAUAGAUGGCGACCGGCGCACGGGUGCGUAACGCGUAUGCAACCUGCCUGUAAUUAGGGAAUAACCCGGUGAAAGUCGGACUAAUACCCUAUAUUCUUCUUUCUCUGCAUGGGGGAGGACGGAAAGAUUUAUUGAUUACAGAUGGGCAUGCGUCCCAUUAGCUAGUUGGUAAGGUAACGGCUUACCAAGGCAACGAUGGGUAGGGGGACUGAGAGGUUGACCCCCCACACUGGUACUGAGACACGGACCAGACUCCUACGGGAGGCAGCAGUGAGGAAUAUUGGUCAAUGGGCGAGAGCCUGAACCAGCCAAGUCGCGUGAAGGAGGACGGUUCUAUGGAUUGUAAACUUCUUUUGUAGAGGAAUAAUGGCAGCUACGUGUAGCUGAGAUGUAUGUACUCUACGAAUAAGUAUCGGCUAACUCCGUGCCAGCAGCCGCGGUAAUACGGAGGAUACGAGCGUUAUCCGGAAUUAUUGGGUUUAAAGGGUGCGUAGGUGGCGUAUUAAGUCAGUGGUGAAAAGCUGCAGCUCAACUGUAGUCUUGCCGUUGAAACUGAUAUGCUAGAGAGGAGACGAGGUAUGCUGAAUGUGUGGUGUAGCGGUGAAAUGCAUAGAUAUCACACAGAACGCCUAUUGCGAAGGCAGCGUACCAGGCUCCGUCUGACACUGAAGCACGAAAGCGUGGUGGAUCAAACUGGAUUAUAUACCCUGGUAGUCCAAGGGCGAAAUUCCACAUUGUUGAUUAAGCUUAUCUGAUCCCGUCAACCUCUAUGGGGGGAAAAAAAAACUCAGCUUAUUGUUCCCUUUUGUAUGUGUUAUUAAUAGUCUGUUUCCCUUCCAUUUUUCCUACUUGUGCUGCUCGCUUUGUGUCCCAUGUGUGUAGUUGUCUUGCCUAUCCUGUUGUGUAACAUCCUUGUCUGUAUAUGUGCUUCUCCCUCUGCUAUUUUAUGUUCUGUUGUUGCUAUGCCUUAACUUAGCUUUACCUGUAGCCCUGUGUGUGUUGCUGUGUGCUUGCUUUUUUGUUCUACUUUGAUGCUUCUUCCCUCCUGCUGUAUUUUUGUAUGCUCCUAGUAGCCUCUGUGUCUAUGUUGCUGCUAUCUGUGUCU
rnacentral:rRNA from 1 species